rnacentral:tRNA from 1 species
UGGGAGAUCGUCUAAUGGUAGGACGGCGGGUUCUGGACCCGUUAGUGGAGGUUCGAAUCCUCCUCUCCCAGCCA